GUGGUCACUCUCUUGGGCUUGAAAUGGAACAGAUCUUCUUGUUCCAUCUCUUUCUGAUAGCGCCAGUUCCUGCUGAGGACAGAACAUUGUCUUCUUUUCUCCCUGCCUCAGGCAGAUGGCAGGGAGUGUUGUGUGUUCCCACAAAGGAGCGUGCUGUCCCCGCUCCCGAGUCUCUCAGCGAGCCCUGUCAUGGAAGGCAUCCAGGAGAAUGUGGAACUCCGCACCCGCUUUCUCAGAACAGAGGAGCAUCCAUGACCCUCAGAAUCACAGCAUUGAGAGGUCUCUGCAUUUGUCCGCGUUCUUCACUGUCAUGUGGCUCCUCCCGAUGUGAUAGCAAAGAUGCCCGUGGACAAACCAGGCUUGGGUCCAUCAUGUUGGCAAUCUGGAGGAAGCCGAGCACUUUUUCUCCAACUGACUCAGUCCCAGGACUGGCUCUCAUUUGCCCAGCUUGUGCAGAAUCUCAUUGUCCUAAUGUUAAAUAUAUAUCAUCAGUGCUCAAUGUUACAGCUUCAAACAUAGAAGAUACAAGAAGUAAAUGCUGAGAUUUCGCUAUUUGUUAACCUAUCAUGUGAUGAACCUAUACAAAUUGUGUAAAGCAAAUGUUUUCAGGCAUUGGAUGUCAAGCAGC
rnacentral:lncRNA from 1 species